CUUACUGUUCAUUGUUCAGAAAAUGCAACUCAAUGUUAAAAAAGACCACAUAAUUGCAAUUGGGAGGUUUUCUCCUUUUAAAAGAUGAGGAGUUAAAUUCAUCAUGCACCAAUCACGGAAAUAAAAGGCUCAAUUCAUUCAAGAAUCAUGAGUUUCUAGGAAGUGGGCUGUGGAAACCAAAAUUCAGUAGAGAAUUUUCAAGUAAGUGGAAUUCCAGAGGUCAACGAUGAGAUCUAACCGGCAGCAAGAACAGAUUUACAUGGCCACUGAGCUUUCAAAGUCGGCAGCAGCAGAGACUAAAAGAGGUCACUGCAAAAUCUUAAUUUGUUCAUGGCAUGGAGAUUUCCUGCUACAUUUCUUUUUCUUCAUGGCAUGCUCCUGACAACAAGGUCCUGUUAUACUUUCUCUUUACUCUUAUUUUAAUCUAUAAUGUUAGCUAUGAAGUUAGGUUGCUCAAAGUUUGGAAUCUUUAAUUGUUGUUUAUCUUCCAACUUCAUUUAAAAGUUUUAAAUUUUGUGAUCUUUGCCAUGAUUUAUUUUUUUUAUAUAAAUAAAUUGGUUUGGGGUGCAAGAUGAAGGAGCAACCUGAAUCUGCUGAUUUCAAAGCAAAAACAUGAUGGUAGUCUUUAUUUACCAUCAAAUUAAAUUCUAUUUACUUUGAAAAAUGACGGUCUAUAUUUACAUAGAUUUGUAUUCAAAUUUUAUGUUUUUGUAGAGUUUAGGGACAGAUAUGGGAUGCACCAUACAUGUACUCAAUUUACAUGUUAACCAAGCAUUGAAUAUCAAUUUAUAAAGUGUUAAUGAUGAUAGAGUUGAAGAAAAACACACUACAGAAUGGCAGAUAAAGGAUAAAAAGUUAAAAUCUAAUGGAUUUACAGUAAACAAAGGUUUCUGCAGAGAUAGAAGGAUUGCAGAUUUAAGAGAAUGGAGAGAAGGGAAAGGAAAAUAUGCAUCAAGGAGAAAGAAGGCACACACGUAGCGGAUACUAUCCUCUCCAACAAAGAAAGCCACAAGAAUAGUGGCUUGUUCUACUCAAUGAAGAACGCGACAUUUGAUAUAGUGUGUAUUGAACAACCUCUAGAGUCUAAAAUGGAAAACAGGAAUCAGUUCCAGGAACUUUCAAAGGCCAAAUACAAUUGUCUUUUGUUUGAUCUUGAUGAUACCUUUAUCCUGUUAGUUCUGGAUUAUCAGCGGAUAUAACGAAAAAUAUUCAAGAUUACAUGCUUCAAAAACUUGAUAUGGAAGAGGCUAAAGUUUCUGAAUUGUGCUAUUCACUAUACAAGGUUUAUGGGACAACAAUGGCUGGUCUCAAGAUUUGUUCAUGGGAGAUUGCCAUAUAAGUUGCUGAAAGCUGAUCCUGUUCUUAUUGGAUGGUUAACAAAGUAGAUAUAUAAUAAGUUUUAAGCUGUGACAGAUGUUUCAAUUGAAACUACUUUGGAACCUUCCUAGAAUACUUGACCCCUUCAGAUUUCUCAGCUUUCCACAGUUCUGGAAGUGCUUCCUUCAUAUUAUGUAUACUCUCUAAUGCAUGAUCUA